UGUGGAAGAGUUCAGUGGCAUAAGCGCCUGCCUGGGAAGCAUGAGGUCCUGAGUUCAAUUCCCAGUACCAAAA
rnacentral:tRNA from 1 species